rnacentral:rRNA from 1 species
UACGUAGGCAGCAAGCGUUGUUCGGAAUUAUUGGGCGUAAAGCGCGUGUAGGCGGCUUUGCAAGUCGGGAUGUGAAAGCCCUCAGCUCAACUGAGGAAGUGCGCCCGAAACUGCAGAGCUUGAGUGACCGGAGAGGAUGGUGGAAUUCCCCAAGUAGAGGUGAAAAUUCGUAGAUAUGGGGAGGAACACCGGUGGCGAAGGCGACCAUCUGGACGGAUACUGACGCUGAGACGCGAAAGCGUGGGUAGCAAACGAGGA